rnacentral:rRNA from 1 species
CGACCGGCGCACGGGUGAGUAACACGUAUGCAACCUGGCCGUGACAGAUGGAUAACCGGGAGAAAUCCCGCCUAAUACAACAUAAUGCCGGGAGGGGACAUCCCCUGCCGGCCAAAGGGGGCGACCCCGGUCACGGAUGGGCAUGCGGCGCAUUAGUUAGUUGGCGGUGUAACGGACCACCAAGACGACGAUGCGUAGGGGUUCUGAGAGGAAGGUCCCCCACACUGGUACUGAGACACGGACCAGACUCCUACGGGAGGCAGCAG